AUUGAACGCUGGCGGCAGGCUUAACACAUGCAAGUCGAGCGGAGAUGAGGUGCUUGCACCUUAUCUUAGCGGCGGACGGGUGAGUAAUGCUUAGGAAUCUGCCUAUUAGUGGGGGACAACAUUCCGAAAGGAAUGCUAAUACCGCAUACGUCCUACGGGAGAAAGCAGGGGAGCUUCGGAACUUGCGCUAAUAGAUGAGCCUAAGUCGGAUGAGCUAGUUGGUGGGGUAAAGGCCUACCAAGGCGACGAUCUGUAGCGGGUCUGAGAGGAUGAUCCGCCACACUGGGACUGAGACACGGCCCAGACUCCUACGGGAGGCAGCAGUGGGGAAUAUUGGACAAUGGGGGGAACCCUGAUCCAGCCAUGCCGCGUGUGUGAAGAAGGCCUUAUGGUUGUAAAGCACUUUAAGCGAGGAGGAGGCUACUGAGACUAAUACUCUUGGAUAGUGGACGUUACUCGCAGAUAAGCACCGGCUAACUCUGUGCCAGCCGCCGCAGUAACAC
rnacentral:rRNA from 1 species